rnacentral:rRNA from 1 species
AGUGGCGGACGGGUGAGUAACACGUAGGUAACCUGCCCCGGAGCGGGGGAUAACAUUUGGAAACAGAUGCUAAUACCGCAUAACAACAAAAGCCACAUGGCUUUUGUUUGAAAGAUGGCUUUGGCUAUCACUCUGGGAUGGACCUGCGGUGCAUUAGCUAGUUGGUAAGGUAACGGCUUACCAAGGCGAUGAUGCAUAGCCGAGUUGAGAGACUGAUCGGCCACAAUGGAACUGAGACACGGUCCAUACUCCUACGGGAGGCAGCAGUAGGGAAUCUUCCACAAUGGGCGCAAGCCUGAUGGAGCAACACCGCGUGAGUGAAGAAGGGUUUCGGCUCGUAAAGCUCUGUUGUUGGAGAAGAACGUGCGUGAGAGUAACUGUUCACGCAGUGACGGUAUCCGACCAGAAAGUCACGGCUAACUACGUGCCAGCAGCCGCGGUAAUACGUAGGUGGCAAGCGUUGUCCGGAUUUAUUGGGCGUAAAGCGAGCGCAGGCGGUUGCUUAGGUCUGAUGUGAAAGCCUUCGGCUUAACCGAAGAAGUGCAUCGGAAACCGGGCAACUUGAGUGCAGAAGAGGACAGUGGAACUCCAUGUGUAGCGGUGGAAUGCGUAGAUAUAUGGAAGAACACCAGUGGCGAAGGCGGCUGUCUGGUCUGCAACUGACGCUGAGGCUCGAAAGCAUGGGUAGCGAACAGGAUUAGAUACCCUGGUAGUCCAUGCCGUAAACGAUGAGUGCUAGGUGU